UCAAGAUUAUAAGAAGCACGCCACAUCCCUCAGUAAGACUGAGAAGGGGAAUGAAACCUUCCAGAGAGUGAAUUUGAGACUAUAGGAGCAACAGGUGAAAAACAGAAGACAAACAAAAGACAGAUGAUAGAAGAUAUUUUACAGAUAAAAGAUACAGUUUUUACACAUACCAAAACAAAAAAAAUAUAAACAAAAUACGUACGAAUCACCGUCUAAGCAGUGUUAUUAGAUGACAGUGUACAUUUCGUCGCUGAAUGAUAUGGAGAAACAGAAAUUACUCAAAUAACAGCUGUUACUUUUAUCUCUCAAAUAGACCAACACUUAUCAGUAUUAAAUA